rnacentral:rRNA from 1 species
UACAGAGGAGCCAAGCGUUGUCCGGAUUGACUGGGCGUAAAGCGCACGCAGGCGGACGCGCGCGUGGGGUGUGAAAUCUGGCCGCUUAACGGCCAGGGGCCAUCCCAUACGGCGCGCCUGGAGCGAUGCAGAGGUCGGUGGAAUUGCCGGUGUAGUGGUGAAAUGCGUAGAGAUCGGCAGGAACACCCAGGGGGAAACCAGCCGACUGGGCAGCUGCUGACGCUGAGGUGCGAGAGCGUGGGGAGCGAACCGG